AAGCCAUGAACCACAAAUCAGCAUGUUUCCUUCCAGUUUCCAAUGAGCACUCUGACAGCAUCACUUAGCAUGCCAGUAUUCAACAUUGUGCAGAUCAUCUCUGUAAAGAUGGCUGUGUUGCUUCAGUUGCCACAUCUCUACGUAUGUUCUUCCUGUUAGCAAAGGCACACUGUGACAGCAUCCACUUUCUACAUGCUAAUACAUGCACAGUAUUGUUCAGGGAAAGACAUAUGCAAACCUAUCAGCUUCCAAAGUCGGCAACAUCCUGCUGUCACUACAGUCUCAGCACCUACCAGCUCCCACUCUGUCAGCAACAUCCUGCUGUCACAUGUCCAGCUACCGGUACUUGAAGUUACUGUGUGCUUGUACAUUCUCAGCACCUACUAGCUCUCACUCUGUCAGCAACAUCCUGCUGUCACAUGUCCAGCUAUUGGUACUCGGAGUUACUAUUUGCUUAUACUUUCUCAGCACCUACCAGCUCCCACUCUGUCAGCAACAUCCUGUCCAGCUACCGGCACUUGGAGUUAUAGUGUGCUUGUACAUUCUCAGCACCUACUAGCUCCCACUCUGUCAACAACAUCCUGCUGUCACACCUCCAGAUAUGUGGAGUUAUUGUGCUUUUACAGUCUCAGCCAGUAUUGGAUUGCAAGUUGUCUUAUGCUGCUACAACCUACACAUUUAGCAUUCUCUUGAACCUUGAGGAACCACCAUAUGAACAAAGAGACAGUCUCUGAAACACUCAUAAUAAACCUGUCACGGUGGUUUGUUGAACAUUCGUAUUAUUUGGAGGACUUGCAAUAAGCUCAUAUAGUCAACUAGCUAUUCCAGUCCUCUGGAAUUUGCUUGAGGUUAUUCUAUACUAGUAGCAAGCCUUUUUUGUGCACGGUCAAGAGUAGAUCGAGAAAGCAGUUGUUUUUAAGGGCAAAACAAUUGUUCUUGUUCCUUGAAAAAGUUGGUCAAAACAUUUUCCCAACCAUUUUUUUAUUUAAACAGUAAGAUAAAGGGCAACGAGGACUGUUUAAUGCCAUUUCUACAUGGUAGAAAAACAAUUCAAUGCUAAUUUUUAUCCAAGAUAUUCAAAGUUUUGGUGUUAUUGGCAAAGAGAGUACCCGCAAGAGUGGUUGUGACAUGUACAUGCAAAACUGUUUGCAAUGAUUAUGCUAUUAUUAUGAUAAAAAUGGUGCAAAGUACGGCGUUAAAAUGGGCUCUCUCCUUGUACAUAGCACAAUACAUAAGUGAUUGUGAUCAUAAAUGUAUUGAAUUACAUAAAAUACAAUUGUGGAUAAAUAUUUGG